UACGUAGGGUGCAAGCGUUGUCCGGAAUUAUUGGGCGUAAAGAGCUCGUAGGCGGUCUGUCGCGUCGUCUGUGAAAACUCGGGGCUCAACCCCGAGCCUGCAGUCGAUACGGGCAGACUUGAGUGCUGUAGGGGAGACUGGAAUUCUUGGUGUAGCGGUGAAAUGCGCAGAUAUCAGGAGGAACACCGGUGGCGAAGGCGGCUUGCUGGGCCUUACCUGACGCUGAGGAGCGAAAGCGUGGGGAGCGAACAGG
rnacentral:rRNA from 1 species